ensembl:snRNA U6 U6 spliceosomal RNA
AUGCUCACUAUAGUAGCACAUAUACUGAAAUUGUAAUGGUAGAGAUUAGUAUGGCCCCUGUGCAAGGAUGACAUGCAAAUUCAUGAAGUGUUCCAUAUUUUU